rnacentral:rRNA from 1 species
ACGAACGCUGGCGGCGUGCCUCACACAUGCCAGUCGAACGAGAAAGGGGCUUCGGCUCCGAGUAAAGUGGCGCACGGGUGAGUAACACGUGGGUAACCUGCCUCUAAGAUUGGGAUAACUCGUCGAAAGAUGAGCUAAUACCGAAUAAGACCACAGUUCCCGCGGGAACAGGGGUCAAAGGUAGCCUCUGCUUGCAAGCUAUCACUUAGAGAUGGGCCUGCGCACCAUUAGCUAGUUGGUAGGGUAACGGCCUACCAAGGCAAAGAUGGUUAGCUGGUCUGAGAGGAUGAUCAGCCACACUGGAACUGAGACACGGUCCAGACUCCUACGGGAGGCAGCAGUGGGGAAUAUUGCGCAAUGGGCGAAAGCUUGACGCAGCAACGCCGCGUGAGUGAUGAAGGCCUUCGGGUCGUAAAGCUCUGUCUGGAGGAACGAAUGCUCCUGAGGUUAACAGCCUCGGGAGGUGACGGUACCUUCAAAGGAAGCACCGGCUAACUCUGUG